AUCCAGCCAUGCCGCGAUGGGUUGAAGAAGGCCUUCGGGUUGUAAAGCCCUUUUGUCCGGAAAGAAAAGCUUUCGGCUAAUACCCGGAAGUUCUGACGGUACCGGAAGAAUAAGCACCGGCUAACUUCGUGCCAGCAGCCGCGGUAAUACGAAGGGUGCAAGCGUUACUCGGAAUUACUGGGCGUAAAGCGUGCGUAGGUGGUUCGUUAAGUCUGAUGUGAAAGCCCUGGGCUCAACCUGGGAAUUGCAUUGGAUACUGGCGGGCUAGAGUGCGGUAGAGGAUGGCGGAAUUCCCGGUGUAGCAGUGAAAUGCGUAGAGAUCGGGAGGAACAUCCGUGGCGAAGGCGGCCAUCUGGACCAGCACUGACACUGAGGCACGAAAGCGUGGGGAGCAAACAGGAUUANAUACCCUGGUAGUCCACGCCCUAAACGAUNCGAACUGGAUGUUGGGAGCAACUAGGCUCUCAGUAUCGAAGCUAACGCGUUAAGUUCGCCGCCUGGGGAGUACGGUCGCAAGACUG
rnacentral:rRNA from 1 species